rnacentral:rRNA from 1 species
GCCGCCGGGGGGCUUACGCCCCCGGGCCCGCGCCCGCCGAAGACACCCUCGAACUCUGUCUGAAGAUUGUAGUCUGAGUGAAAAUAUAAAUUAUUUAAAACUUUCAACAACGGAUCUCUUGGUUCCGGCAUCGAUGAAGAACGCAGCGAAAUGCGAUACGUAAUGUGAAUUGCAAAUUCAGUGAAUCAUCGAGUCUUUGAACGCACAUUGCGCCCCCUGGUAUUCCGGGGGGCAUGCCUGUCCGAGCGUCAUUUCUGCCCUCAAGCACGGCUUGUGUGUUGGGCCCCGUCCUCCGAUCCCGGGGGACGGGCCCGAAAGGCAGCGGCGGCACCGCGUCCGGUCCUCGAGCGUAUGGGGCUUUGUCACCCGCUCUGUAGGCCCGGCCGGCGCUUGCCGAUCAACCCAAAUUUUUAUCCAGGUUGACCUCGGAUCAGGUAGGGAUACCCGCUGAACUUAAGCAUAUCAAUAGC